AUUUUUCAAAAACAAAGAUUUUUAUUGUGGUGAUAAACAUGCUGUAUAACAACAAAUUAUAUAUUAAAUAAAUGAUUAGUACAAUAACAAGAUCUGCUUCUU